rnacentral:rRNA from 1 species
UCGCGGUAUGGGAUGGGGUCGCGUCCUAUCAGCUUGACGGCGGGGUAACGGCCCACCGUGGCUUCGACGGGUAGCCGGCCUGAGAGGGCGACCGGCCACAUUGGGACUGAGAUACGGCCCAGACUCCUACGGGAGGCAGCAGUGGGGAAUAUUGCACAAUGGGCGCAAGCCUGAUGCAGCGACGCCGCGUGAGGGAUGGAGGCCUUCGGGUUGUAAACCUCUUUUAUCGGGGAGCAAGCGAGAGUGAGUUUACCCGUUGAAUAAGCACCGGCUAACUACGUGCCAGCAGCCGCGGUAAUACGUAGGGUGCAAGCGUUAUCCGGAAUUAUUGGGCGUAAAGGGCUCGUAGGCGGUUCGUCGCGUCCGGUGUGAAAGUCCAUCGCUUAACGGUGGAUCCGCGCCGGGUACGGGCGG